rfam:Valsa mali var. pyri strain SXYL134 unplaced genomic scaffold scaffold00020, whole genome shotgun sequence.
ACAUGCGACCAUACCCAGUGGAAAAUUCGGCAUCCCGUCCGCUCUGCCCUAGACAAGCCACUGAGGGCUGGAUUAGUAGUUGGGUCGGUGACGACCAGCGAAUACCCGGUGUUGCAUGUU